rnacentral:rRNA from 1 species
UGGGGAAUAUUGGACAAUGGGGGCAACCCUGAUCCAGCAAUGCCGCGUGUGUGAAGAAGGUCUUCGGAUUGUAAAGCACUUUCGACGGGGACGAUGAUGACGGUACCCGUAGAAGAAGCCCCGGCUAACUUCGUGCCAGCAGCCGCGGUAAUACGAAGGGGGCUAGCGUUGCUCGGAAUGACUGGGCGUAAAGGGCGUGUAGGCGGUUUACACAGUCAGAUGUGAAAUCCCCGGGCUUAACCUGGGAGCUGCAUUUGAUACGUGUAGACUAGAGUGUGAGAGAGGGUUGUGGAAUUCCCAGUGUAGAGGUGAAAUUCGUAGAUAUUGGGAAGAACACCGGUGGCGAAGGCGGCAACCUGGCUCAUGACUGACGCUGAGGCGCGAAAGCGUGGGGAGCAAACA